UGGGGAAUAUUGCACAAUGGGGGAAACCCUGAUGCAGCGACGCCGCGUGAGCGAAGAAGGUUUUCGAAUCGUAAAGCUCUGUCCUAUGAGAAGAUAAUGACGGUAUCAUAGGAGGAAGCCCCGGCUAAAUACGUGCCAGCAGCCGCGGUAAUACGUAUGGGGCGAGCGUUGUCCGGAAUUAUUGGGCGUAAAGGGUACGUAGGCGGUCUAUUAAGUCAGGUGUGAAAGCGUGAGGCUUAACCUCAUUAAGCACUUGAAACUGAUAGACUUGAGUGAAGGAGAGGAAAGUGGAAUUCCUAGUGUAGCGGUGAAAUGCGUAGAUAUUAGGAGGAAUACCGGUGGCGAAGGCUACUUUCUGGACUUUUACUGACGCUCAGGUACGAAAGCGUGGGGAGCAAACAGG
rnacentral:rRNA from 1 species